GAAAUUUGAUUCUGAAAAAUACAAAUAGCUUCCUUUCUCCUGAGCUAGGACUGUAUUUAGAAGGGAAUAAAUUGUAGAUUUUAUUAAAAUUUGAUCACAUUUUCUUUUUUUGUGCUACGACACAGUAGCAAUGUAGAUUGAAGGCUUUUACAUGUAUUUUUAAAAUUGCCAUAGAGAAUUAUUUGUAUUAAUUUCGCAUAUAACCAAAUUCCAACAUUUUAAGGAAGGUAUUAAUUUCAAGCUAAUAUCCAAAUUUGUCUGGUAAGAAAAAGGUGAGCAUGAUCCCUAUGAUAGUGGUUGCCAUUACUUC
rnacentral:lncRNA from 1 species